UUGAACGCUGGCGGCAUGGCUAAAACAUGCAAGUCGAACGCGAACGGGGGCAACCCCUAGUAGAGUGGCGAAAGGGCGAGGAAUAGAUUUCUACGUACCUCAAGGUCGGGGAUACCUCGGAGAAAUCCGAAUCAAUACCCGAUGUGGUCCGCGAGGAUCAAAGGCUUGCUGCCUUGAGAGCGGGGAAUCUCCUAUCAGGUAGUUGGUAGGGUAAUGGCCUACCAAGCCUAAGACGGGUAGCGGGUGUGAGAGCACGGCCCGCCGCAUCGAGACUGAGACACUGCUCGGACUCCUACGGGAGGCUGCAGUAACGAAUCUUCCGCAAUGCGCGAAAGCGUGACGGGGCAAUGCCGCGUGUGGGAUGAAGCCCUUCGGGGUGUAAACCACUGUCAGGGUGCAGGAACUCAAUGACCAUACCCAAAGGAAGCACCGGCUAACUCUGU
rnacentral:rRNA from 1 species